rnacentral:rRNA from 1 species
AUGUUCGAGCAAUUCGGACAAAUCUUGUACGAGGCUGGAGGCUAUCGAGUAGAAGAGAUCGAGAAGCACUCUCUGUACAAGGCGAUGCACACCAGGCCAGAGAAGCGAGAGAAGUGGAGCAGAGUAGUCUUCAUGGUGAAAAUGCUAAGCGGCGGUGAGGAGUUCGAGUGCGAAUGUGGUUUGUUCGAGCACAUGGGCAUGUUGUGCUGCCAUGUUCUGAAGGUAGUAAUGGAACACUGGAUUUAA